rnacentral:rRNA from 1 species
GGACUGAAACACGGCCCAUACUCCUACGGGAGGCAGCAGCAGGGAAUAUUGCACAAUAGGCGAAAGCCUGAUGCAGCGACGCCGCGUGAGUGAAGAAGGCCUUCGGGUCGUAAAGCUCUUUUGUAGGGGAAGAGGAAGGACGGUACCCUAAGAAGAAGCGUCGGCUAACUACGUGCCAGCAGCCGCGGUAAGACGUAGGACGCGAGCGUUAUCCGGAAUUACUGGGCGUAAAGGGCCAGCAGGCGGCUUGGUAAGUUGUGCGUGAAAGCCUCGUGCUCAACGCGAGGAAGCCGGACAAUACUGUCAAGCUAGAGGGCAUCAGAGGGGAGUGGAAUUCCCGGAGUAGCGGUAAAAUGCGCAGAUAUCGGGAGGAACACCGAUGGCGAAGGCAGCUCCCUGGGAUGCACCUGACGCUAAGAGGCGAAAGCUAGGGGAGCGAACAGGAUUAGAGACCCUGGUAGUCCUAGCUGUAAACGCUGGGUGCUAGGUGUGGGACGUAGAAGUUCCGUGCCGGAGCAAACGCGAUAAGCACCCCGCCUGGGAAUUACGGUCGCAAGGCUAAAACUCAAACGAAUUGACGGGGCCCCGCACAAGCAGCGGAGCGUGUGGUUCAAUUCGAUGCUACACGAAGAACCUUACCUGGGUUUGACAUGUACGUGGUACGAAGGCGAAAGCCUAAGGACCCUUCGGGGAGCGUACACAGGUGCUGCAUGGCUGUCGUCAGCUCGUGCCGUGAGGUGUCGGGUUAAGUCCCGUAACGAGCGCAACCCUUGCCCUUAGUUACAAGUGUCUAAGGGGACUGCCGGCGGGAAGCCGGAGGAAGGUGGGGAUGACGUCAAGUCAGCAUGGCCCUUAUGUCCAGGGCUACACACACGCUACAAUGGUCAGUACAAAGGGUAGCGAAGUCGCGAGGCGGAGCGAAUCUCAACAAAGCUGAUCGUAGUUCGGAUUGCAGGCUGCAACCCGCCUGCAUGAAGCUGGAGUUGCUAGUAACCGCGCGUCAGCCAUAGUGCGGUGAAUACGUACCCGGGGCUUGUACACACCGCCCGUCACGUCAUGGGAGUCGGUAACGCCUGAAGCCGGUAGCCUGGCCCGCAAGGGGGACGCUGUCGAAGG